rnacentral:rRNA from 1 species
AACGAACGCUGGCGGCAUGCCUAACACAUGCAAGUCGAACGAGACCUUCGGGUCUAGUGGCGCACGGGUGCGUAACACGUGGGAAUCUGCCCUUUGCUUCGGAAUAACAGUUAGAAAUGACUGCUAAUACCGGAUGAUGUCGAAAGACCAAAGAUUUAUCGGCAAAGGAUGAGCCCGCGUAGGAUUAGGUAGUUGGUGGGGUAAAGGCCUACCAAGCCGACGAUCCUUAGCUGGUCUGAGAGGAUGAUCAGCCACACUGGGACUGAGACACGGCCCAGACUCCUACGGGGGGGAGCAGGGGGGAAUAUUGGAAAAUGGGCGAAAGCCUGACCCAGCAAUGCCGGGUGAGUGAUGAAGGCCUUAGGGUUGUAAAGCUCUUUUACCAGGGAUGAUAAUGAAAGUACCGGGGAAAUAAGCCCCGGCUAACUCCGU